AACUUUCAGCAACGGAUCUCUUGGCUCUCGCAUCGAUGAAGAACGCAGCGAAAUGCGAUAAGUAAUGUGAAUUGCAGAAUUCAGUGAAUCAUCGAAUCUUUGAACGCACCUUGYGCUCCUUGGUAUUCCGAGGAGCAUGCCUGUUUGAGUGU
rnacentral:rRNA from 1 species